rnacentral:rRNA from 1 species
GUGAAACCGCGAAUGGCUCAUUAAAUCACACCUAAUCUACUGGAUAGUUAACAGUUACUUGGAUAACUGCGGUAAUUCUGGAGCUAAUACAUGCACAAAGCCCCGAACUUACGUGAGGGGCGCUUUUAUUAGAUCAAAACCAAACGGCUUCGGCUGUUCUCUUGGUGACUCUGAAUAACUUUGGGCUGAUCGCAUAGCCUAGCGCUGGCGACAUAUCCUUCGAAGGUGUGCCCUAUCAACUGUCGACUGUGGCAUAGACGCCCACAGUGGUUUUGACGGGUAACGGGGAAUCAGGGUUCGAUUCCGGAGAGGGAGCCUUAAAAACGGCUACCACAUCUAAGGAAGGCAGCAGGCACGCAAAUUACCCAAUGACCGAAGGUCGAGGUAGUGACGAAAAAUAACAAUACGGGACUCAUCUGAGGCCCCGUAAUUGGAAUGAGUACACUUUAAAACCGUCCCCGAGGAUCUAUUGGAGGGCAAGUCUGGUGCCAGCAGCCGCGGUAAUUCCAGCUCCAAUAGCGUAUAUUAAAGUUGUUGUGGUUAAAAAGCUCGUAGUUGGAUCUCGGCGGUCUGAGGGCGGUUCACUUGCUAGUGCUACUGCCCUAUAGACCGUAGUUUUGCCAGAGGUCGCAGGGUGCUCUUAAUCGAGUGUCCUGUGAAGCUGGCAGGUUUACUUUGAAAAAAUUAGAGUGCUCAAAGCAGGCUUUUACGCCUGAAUAUUCGUGCAUGGAAUAAUAGAAUAGGAAGUCGUUUCUAUUUUGUUGGUUUUCGGAAAUCGACUUAAUGAUUAAUAGGGACAGUCGGGGGCAUUUGUAUUCAAACGACAGAGGUGAAAUUCUUGGACCGUUUGAAGACAAACUACUGCGAAAGCAUUUGCCAAGAAUGUUUUCAUUAAUCAAGAACGAAAG